rnacentral:lncRNA from 1 species
AUGCCCUCUGCCCAGCUACUCAUUGCCUGGUCCAUGCCUCUGCUUUCCAGACCUGUGGCUCAGGCAGGAGACAUGGAUGAAAUGGAAGGGGCCAGGUAUGGCAGGAGGCCUGGCCAGGGGCACCCAGGAAGUUAAGAGCUCUCCUCUGGGGAAGACCUAGGGGUUGACUCCAUGGGAAACUGGACAAGAUCGCCAUCCCUCUGAAAGCUUGGCAAAGAAGGGAAUCCUGGAGACGCAGAGGGCUCUCACAGCAGAGAAGGUAGGCUUCUACCUUCUUGCUGGGGAGAUGGGUUUUCAGCUAGGGAUGGGAGGGUUGGGGAGACACAAGAGAUGGGGCUCGAAUGGGCAGAGCAGCAGGCCCCAGAAUCUCUGACCUUCCCAGAGCUGAAAGUGGUGAGGGAAACCCAAGGGGAAGGCCAGAUUCCUUGUGGUCAGGGCUCUGCCAGCUGAGGCGUCCUCCGGGUCAGGACACGAGGCAGGGUUUCCAGGAAUGUGUGUGCCAGGUGGCUCAGGCAUCCGGAGAGUGACAGGAAAGCUAGGUUCCUGGGGAGCUGCCCACGGAGGCUGUGGGCAGCUGGAGGGAACCGGCUCGCCUCUGGGGGUGGGACUCUGGUGGACCAGGGCUCAGAGCAACUUGCAGCCUCCUCCAACCCACUCUCACUCAGAUUCCAGACAAAAGGCAGAGGCCAUUCACUACUCUCCUCCACUCCACCCACAGGGAUCCCCAGGUGGAGCCAGGGUGCCAACGGCUCCAGGCGCAAGUCGGGGAGAAACCCUAAGGACCACCCCCACCCCCAGGGAGUCGCCACCAAGAAAAGGGACACGGAGAAGAGAAGGAGGAUCCUGCCCUGAUCGCCAGAGAGGACCGCUUGCCGCAGAUGCGGCCAGGACAGGCGGGAGGCCGGGCCCGCCUCCCUAAAGCGCCGUCGGCAGAGCCACUGGCGGGGCCCUGGCGGGGCUCCAGUCCCGGCUCUUCAACCACGUGGGCACGCUGGACCUGGCCCUGGGCGAGCUGCGGGCUCCGGGGGAGCGCCUUCCUGCCACUGCCCGCCCGCGGCCCGCAGCCCGCGGCCUCGCAGCGCGCCUGGCUCGCCUGGCAGCUGGCGCAGGCGGGGGCGACCCUGCACCAGGCAGGCCCGGCGCUCGACAGUCUGCUCGCAGCCCUCCCUGCUGGAGCCUCCGCGGCCAUAGGGGCCGCGCCCCCAGCCUGAGCUCUCGUCCUGGCCCUUCCCGGGGCCACUCACGUCUGUCCCGGAGCCCGUCCAGACUCUGCCCUCUUGACUCCCCGAGCAAGAGUCCGUGGCAGCAGUUCGCACACCCAGGCGACGAGCUCCCUCCCACCGCGCGACACUAUCCACCUGUCCGGGAAACGGUCUUGGGCAUGGACCGGACCUCCCUUCCUACAGGAUCUCUCUUCAGGCAAAGGGCUCCUCCUUUCCAGAAGACAGCCCCGUGAAGAUGAGCGCUCAGAGCAAAUCCCUUCUUUUUCUCCAGGGGCUCUGAUGACCAACACUCUCACCGAUUUGGACUUUUUCACCAUUGCUUGUUUCCCUGCUAUAUGAAAAAUAAAGCAUGGGCAAACAAACGUACGUGUGUGUGU